UCACGUUGAAGAGAAGAGAGGAAAGAAAUUUUUACUUUCUUUACAAUUUGGUCCUUUUACAAAAAAUUCACCAUUUUCACUUAGAAAUCAAAAGAAUUUUCAUAUCCAUCAAGAGAGAAAGAUAACAAGGAGACUAUGGGGAGCUAGAAUAUCAAGUUAGAUUCAAGAAAUAGAAGCUGAAGGAGAGAGAAAAUCAAGUUAAAGAUUGAAAUCAAUAGCACAAGGGCAAUUGAGAGAAAUAGGAGCGAAAAACGAGUGAAAAUUAGAACAUUGGAGCAUUCUGGAAGCUGUACACAUGCAACAGACUUUUACACGGGCAAUCCAGAUGGCUAUGUGAUCCAUACGGGUGUGUAUCCAGGGCAUGUUGAUCUUGAGAACCGUGUGCACUAACAAUUGAAAAUUACGAUUUUUAGGGUUUUUUGGCACUUGAAGAAGACAUAAAUAAGGAAAUAAAGGAGGGAAGUGUUGGAAGAUUGGGUUUGGAAAAUGCAGCCGAAAAUAGGUUUAAGAGAAAAUCAAAGUUUUAUUUUUUUAUUUUUUCUAAAAAUAAGAACUUGGUUGUGUUAUCUAAGGUAACAAACACUUAAUCAAAAUCGUGCAUUUAUGAUUCA